CACGUCAGAUGAUACUGGUAUCAC
rnacentral:siRNA from 1 species